rnacentral:misc_RNA from 1 species
GAUGAAGAACGUAGCGAAAUGCGAUAAGUAAUGUGAAUUGCAGAAUUCAGUGAAUCAUCGAAUCUUUGAACGCACAUUGCGCCCCCUGGCAUUCCGGGGGGCAUGCCUGUCCGAGCGUCAUUACAACCCUCAAGCUCAGCUUGGUGUUGGGCCCCGCCGCCCCGGCGGGCCCUAAAGUCAGUGGCGGUGCCGUCCGGCUCCGAGCGUAGUAAUUCUUCUCGCUCUGGAGACCCGGUUGUGUGCUUGCCAACAACCCCCAAUUUUUUAAGGUUGACCUCGGAUCAGGUAGGGAUACCCGCUGAACUUAAGCAUAUCAAUAAGCGGAGGA